rnacentral:rRNA from 1 species
AUGAAGCCGGAAUUGCUAGUAAUGGCAGGUCAGCAUACUGCCGUGAAUACGUUCCCGGGCCUUGUACACACCGCCCGUCACACCAUGAGAGUUGGGAAUACCCGAAGCCUGUGAACUAACGUAAGAGGCAGCAGUCGAAGGUAGAAUCAAUGAUUGGGGUGAAGUCGUAACAAGGUACC